GAUGAACGCUAGCGGCAGGCUUAAUACAUGCAAGUCGAGGGGCAGCAGGGAUGUAGCAAUACAUUCGCUGGCGACCGGCAAACGGGUGCGGAACACGUACGCAAUCUACCCAAAACUGGGGAAUAGCCCGGGGAAACCCGGAUUAAUACCUCGUAACAUUAUGAAGUGGCAUCACUUUAUGAUUAUAGCUCCGGCGGUUUUGGAUGAGCGUGCGCCUGAUUAGGUAGUUGGCGGGGGAACGGCCCACCAAGCCUACGAUCAGUAACUGGUGCGAGAGCACGACCAGUCACACGGGCACUGAGACACGGGCCCGACUCCUAUGGGAGGCAGCAGUAAGGAAUAUUGGUCAAUGGACGCAAGUCCGAACCAGCCAUGCCGCGUGAAGGAUGAAGGUCCUCUGGAUUGUAAACUUCUUUUAUAGGGGACGAAACCUCUGUUUCUACAGAGACUGACGGUACCCUAGGAAUAAGCACCGGCUAACUCCGUGCCAGCAGCCGCCGUAACAC
rnacentral:rRNA from 1 species